AGGUGCCGCUUGAGCUUGUAGGAGGUGGUGAAGGACCAGCCGCAGCCGUCCAGCGGGCACUUGAAGGGCCGUUGGCCCUGCGUGCUGCUGUGCGACAGCAGGUGCAGCUUCAGCUGGUGCUUCUUGGGGAAGGUGAGGAAACUGAAGCCCAGGGAGGCUAGAUGACUUGCCCAAAGUCACAGGUGAGAAACCAUAUGGAUUUGCUGUUGAUCCUUUCUGGAUGCUCUUUCCUCUAUCCAUUCAAACCCUGUCCAUACCUUAAGAUGCAACUCAAAGCCUUCCUCCUUCUGGCUACCUUAUUAAUCUCAGAGCUUCUUUUUCUCUGAGAGCCUUCAUCAUCCCUCUUACCUGCACAGAAAGCAGACCCAUCAUAAAUGUUGGAUGUUUCUCGGAAAGGACUAUCUGUCCCACUGACAUCAUGAUGAUCCCGGCUGAGGACCACAGGGGCCUAGAUAGUCAAUCACAAACACUCAGCAAAACAUUCUUGUAGAAACAAAAUCAAAGUUGAUGGACAAUAGUUUUCAAGAUGAAAAAUGUAAACUGUCAAUAACCAUAUGGAAUGAUCUAAAGCAACAACAACAACGACAAUGAUAAUACUAAUAGAAAAAU